rnacentral:Y_RNA from 1 species
ACGACGGAUACUUCUAAUCUAUGGGUCGGGGGUUCGAAUCCUCUCCAGCCCUUUUGCGGCUGGUAGCUCAGGGGCAGAGCAAUAGGCACUUCCGUCGUCGACUC